ACGGGUGAGUAAUACAUCGGAACGUAUCCUGGAGUGGGGGAUAGCCCGGCGAAAGCCGGAUUAAUACCGCAUACGCUCUGAGGAGGAAAGCGGGGGACCUUCGGGCCUCGCGCUCAAGGGGCGGCCGAUGGCGGAUUAGGUAGUUGGUGGGGUAAAGGCCUACCAAGCCGACGAUCCGUAGCUGGUCUGAGAGGACGACCAGCCACACUGGGACUGAGACACGGCCCAGACUCCCACGGGAGGCAGCAGUGGGGAAUUUUGGACAAUGGGGGCAACCCUGAUCCAGCAAUGCCGCGUGUGUGAAGAAGGCCUUCGGGUUGUAAAGCACUUUUGUCCGGAAAGAAAUCAUCGGGGCCAAUACCCCUGGUGGAUGACGGUACCGGAAGAAUAAGCACCGGCUAACUACGUGCCAGCAGCCGCGGUAAUACGUAGGGUGCGAGCGUUAAUCGGAAUUACUGGGCGUAAAGCGUGCGCAGGCGGUGCUGUAAGACCGAUGUGAAAUCCCCGGGCUUAACCUGGGAACUGCAUUGGUGACUGCAGCGCUGGAGUAUGGCAGAGGGGGGUGGAAUUCCACGU
rnacentral:rRNA from 1 species